AGGAAAUCUACAUGCAGAGAGUCCGAAGAGUGUUCCAGGUUGAGAAACCAGCACAUGCAAAGGCCCCAGGUGAAAGAGCGUGAAGCAAGUUUGUCCUCUCGUCAGGACACGUCAAAACUUGCAGAGACCCUGGCAGGCACGGCUCCCAACUCUUCAUUGGACAAAAGAACAACCUAAGACUCAGAGCUGAGAAGUGAUUUUGCCAGGGUCACACAGCCAGCUUGGGGCAGAAUCGGGAUUCAGGGACCUGUCUCCUACUUCUAAUGUGUCCUCUCUCCAUUACACCAGACACGGCGAGAACACGGAGAACCUAAAAGAAGAAAGAAAAAAACAGCUUCUUGUUGAAUAUCUUGAGCUUCUGGUUUUCAAGGACAGCUUUAUGAUUAAUAGCAAUGAUGCCUCAAAAGCUAUGGCAGCUAGCUUGAAUGAACUUAUGUAAUAAACAUUUAUCACAGAACAUGUGUCAUCAAACACCUGCUAGAUCUGAGCGUUGGCACCAAAGCUGCUUUCAUUGUCAAAGAAAAGAGGGGGAAAAGGAACUUGGCUGAACAAAGCUGGCAGACUUUUUACUAGAAAAUUCAGAGGUAAUUUCUGGAGGAGCAGGAACACAUUUCCAAGGCUCUUAAAAUGUGUUUAAAUGUGAUUGGGUGAAUUUAGUAGUUAAAAACUUGAAGGAUGUUGAGGACCAUUUGGUGCCUAAGCCCUCUUCCAGAUAGGUCCCUUCUGUCUGCCUUGGUCACAGAGUCCUGGAAGCCUCAAGGUGGGC
rnacentral:lncRNA from 1 species